rnacentral:rRNA from 1 species
GUAGGUGGCAAGCGUUGUCCGGGAAUUAUUGGGGCGUAAAGCGCGCGCAGGCGGUUCUUUAAGUCUGAUGUGAAAGCCCACGGGCUCAACCGUGGGAGGGUCAUUGGAAACUGGAGAACUUGAGUACAGAAGAGGAGAGCGGAAUUCCACGUGUAGCGGUGAAAUGCGUAGAGAUGUGGAGGAACACCAGUGGCGAAGGCGGCUUUCUGGUCUGUAACUGACGCUGAGGCGCGAAAGCGUGGGGAGCAAACAGGAUUAGAUACCCUGGUAGUCCACGCCGUAAACGAUGAGUGCUAAGUGUUAGGGGGUUUCCGCCCCUUAGUGCUGCAGCUAACGCAUUAAGCACUCCGCCUGGGGAGUACGGCCGCAAAGGCUGA